rnacentral:rRNA from 1 species
AUUGAACGCUGGCGGCAUGCUUUACACAUGCAAGUCGAACGGUAACAGGUUAAGCUGACGAGUGGCGAACGGGUGAGUAAUGCAUCGGAACGUGCCCGAUCGUGGGGGAUAACGCAGCGAAAGCUGCGCUAAUACCGCAUACGAUCUGAGGAUGAAAGCGGGGGACCGUAAGGCCUCGCGCGAUCGGAGCGGCCGGUGUCAGAUUAGGUAGUUGGUGGGGUAAAGGCUCACCAAGCCAACGAUCUGUAGCUGGUCUGAGAGGACGACCAGCCACACUGGGACUGAGACACGGCCCAGACUCCUACGGGAGGCAGCAGUGGGGAAUUUUGGACAAUGGGCGAAAGCCUGAUCCAGCAAUGCCGCGUGCAGGAAGAAGGCCUUCGGGUUGUAAACUGCUUUUGUACGGGACGAAAAGGCUCUCUCUAAUACAGGGGGCUCAUGACGGUACCGUAAGAAUAAGCACCGGCUAACUACGUGCCAGCCGCCGCGGUAAUAC